rnacentral:lncRNA from 1 species
AUGUCAAGACCCCACCACCACUCACCCUCACCACCUCUAUCCUUUGGUAGAGAACCAAGGGGUUCCUCAGUGUCGUUGGGGUCCAAACAAGACCUCCAAUCGGAGGCAUGUAAGGAGUCUCCCUCAAACCUACCCACUCCUGACUCAGACGUCACUGACAUCCAUCCUCCCUCUCUCUCUGAGGAUUUCACAUCCUAUUCACAGUUAAUCAUGCGUAUGGCUAAGUCUUUGGAGUUCGCUAUAGAUCAACGCCCACCCCCCAGACACGACCUAGUAUUUGAGGAUAUUAAUCAAGAGAAAUCACCUCCUCUGAGCCUAGCCUUUAUCUCGGCUAUGCUGGACCUUAUCAAGGAAUCUAGGGCACAACCUCCUUCUUUCUUACAGAUCUCUAGGAGAAUAGAGAACCACUAUAGAACACACUGCAGUGAUACAGUCUUCCUCAAUAAACACUUUGCACUGAACUCUAUAGUGGCACAGUCUAAUCAAUCCAGAGCAGGAAACCAUUCAAAGGUCACCGCAAUCAACAGAGAGGGAUGCAAGCUAGAUGUGCUGGGCUGUCGAUUAUACUCCUUGGCAUCAUUCAUGAUGCGAGUCUCCAACUGUCAAGCAGCAAUGGGUGCUUAUCAGAGGCAGUUGUGGAAUAAAAGCCUUCCAGUUCUCCAAACUGCCCCUGAGGAGACUAGAACUGCAGCCCUAAACAAUCACCUGGAAGUGAUGGUGCUAGCUAAACAGCAGCACCUGGCAUCGCAGCACACUGCUGAUGCAGCUUUCAAGGCCAUGACAUCUGCCAUCGCUGUGAGGAGACAUGCCUGGUUACGCUCAUCAGUUAUCAACAAUGAUGCCAAGUCACGAAUUGAAGAACUCACCUUUGAUGGUGCCGGGCUGUUUAACGAAAAAACAGACAAGGUUAUGGAAAAUCUACACAAAAUUAGAAAAACAGCUGGAUCUUAUUAUCUCCAACAGCAUAAAUUUCAACAACAGCAAUGGUGCAGACCAUUCACUGCCCAUCAGUCAUACCAACAAUCAUACCAACAGCCUUACCAGCAAUCCUACCGCCAGAAUAAACCUCCUCAGGAAAGUGCAAAUCUUCCUCCAUCUUCUGUUUCCACGUCCUUCCCACCUCAAUCUUCUAAUCAACGUCGCCAAAAUUUCCGCUGCCCUGCCAAGAAGGGCAAACAAUAUCUUUGA